CCUGAGGAAAAAAAUGUUGAUGGAAACAUUUAUUAAUUCAUAAAUAUCCAGUUCUGUAGUAAAAAAAUUUAAAAACAGAUUUAUUACACAGUCCAACAGAAAUAAAUGCUUAGUGUCUUGGUUUUUAGACCUGUUCCUGAGAUUAUUUGAAGUGCCGAUUCAGAGAACUGCAUCUGAUAGAACACUUCUAAAUUCUUAGAUAUGGUUAUCGUGAUUUUCUAUGGGGAGCAGAUGAAGAAAGACUGCUCUAUGGCAUAUGUUCUGUAUCUCAAAAACUAGAGCUGAUAGGGGGAAACCAGUGCCAGGUCAAAUAUACCCAGAAACAGGCCUGACAUUUGAGGCAUGAAAAUGUGUGUUGGCCAGUGUUAUCUAAGUGAUAAAAUAGAGUAUUUAAAUGAUAAAGCUCAAGUAACUGUUUUUAAUGAGGUUAACAAUCUGUCAUCACAAGAGUGGAAGUUGUGAACUUCAAAUAUAAUUGUGCCUCAUUAAACCAAUCCACCAACAAUAGUACAGAAGGCCAUAUAACAAACCAAAAUAAAAAUAAAAUUAAAGUUGUCUCUUCAGUUCCAACUCUAGUUGGAUUCUCUAUAGAAUCUAUGUGGCUAUAAUUGAUAAAACAAAUCAAACUCACAUUCUGUUCUCCAAAAGUGAUUUGUUUGCUUUUGUCUUGGUUCAUAUUUUAAUUCACAAUUAAUACUUUAAUCCAAUGGUUCAAAUAUGGUGAUUUUAGGAACCAUGAGGCAUCUGAAAGUACAUCCCAUACCUUCUCCCUAUAUGCAUAUGUAUCUAUUGUACAAAGUGUGCUGUUUUCAAUUUGAAUUGUCAGUUUUACUAAGAAGCAUUUACCCGUUUUUCACUAAAACAUAAUUAAGUGAUUCUACUGAAAUCUGCCUGACACUUUCUGUACAAAUAUGUUUAUGACUAUACCAUCUUUAAAUUAUUCAUUCUCUCCAAGCAGAUGUUGUUUUCAACCUCUCUUUGAUGUGUCGAGCGGGGGGAGGGAAUGAGAUGAUUAAAACACUGUAUAUGAAUUUGUUAGGGUGUUAUAGUAUUUCAAUCUCAUUCUGAGUCAUUUUCUGAAGAAAAAAGGUACUUUCCCUAAGCAGUUAGCUUACACCGAGCCUAGAAUAUCAAUUAGAGGAAAAACAGAGUCAAAAAGUGGAGCAAAGAGAAGAGAUGUGUGUUUUGACAACUAGCCAGUGCUCCUCUUCAGAAUCAUAUAAUGCGCCUUUGAUGUUCCUAAGCUGCCCAUGUCUGCAAACUCGUGCCAGAAGUCUUCUCCUCCUUCAGAGCUGGCGCUUCUACCUCCAGAUUGCAUCAUAUAUGCAGAUGAGAUAAAUGUGCCAAUGAAACAGAGGGACUAUUAGUUCCUGGCAACAAUCCCUGAACGCUGAAAUCCUAUAAGCUCCUGUGUACUCUUUGCCUCGAAGAAAAGAAAUUGCUUAUGCAUAAUAUACAAGCAAUGAAUUUUAGAGACUCAUUUUGUAAAAGAUGAAAGCAGAUUUAAAGUGUGUGUUUUCAAACUUCAAGUUUAUGUCUCCCUAGGAGUGCUGUAUGCAUUUUGGCAAUAUAAACAGAAUGAAGUCAACAUAAAACUAAGUAAAAUUUAUUGGUUUAGGGUGAGGGGAUGCCAAAAUUCUGUUCGCCUACACUUGAAAAAUACCUAGGGCCGGCUCUGGGUACAGGCUUCAUCUCUGAGACAUGUUACCCACUGGAACGCAGUUCACUUCACUUGGAAGAGGAUUAGAGACAAUUCCUACGGUCUCCCACAUGCUUUUUAACACCUAUGAAACCAGGUAAGAACAAAAAGGAAACAACUGCACACGGAAAAAGGCAUGGAGGAUUUCCCUUAUUCUCUUAUGUAAUGUUAGACAAUCUUAACUUAUGAAACCAAAAUGUUCCCAAAUCUGCUAUGUGUCAUAUCGAAUAUGAGUGUCAUUUUUAAAUACCAGUGGUACUGACUGUUUGUAUGCACCACAUAUUCAGAGGACGUGUCUGUUGUUUACAACAAAGUCUUUCUUCCUUCUCUGGAAGCUCUUCUGGGACUUUGAGCGGCAGAGACAUAAAUACACAAAGUGAACUGCCUCACUGGCAAUGUGACAGGAGGUAAUAUGGGAGGUACAAAGUUCUCUAUGUGUCUUACUGUGGAUUUAGAAAGGGAAAGUUCCUUCCACAGAUAAGAAAUAUUCCUAGUAAAUUCUUCUGCUGAUUCUUCAAAAAUAAUGUAUAAAUGUAAAAAUUGAAGCAGAAUACAUCACUUUCUUUUGUGUAAAAUAUAUAGCAGUGUACCAGAAACGAGUCCCAGAAAGGGACUAUUGUACUCCUUUGUCUAGAGUGGAAUUAGUGUUAAUACUGUAAGGAGAUUGUAACUGGCCUGGGGAUAAUGGCCACGUAUUACAUGUUCAAUGGCAUUAUCAGAUCAGAAAAGGAUUCACAGAGGACACCUACUCUUGACUUUGUAUUUUAAAUGGCUUUAAAUACUCAGCUAAUGUAUAACUGUAUAACUGUAUACUGUAUAAUGUCACUUGCCAUGAAGCAGACUUUGACAUGGCAACCCUAUGAAUAACAGCUCUCUAAGUUCCCCUUAUCCUCAACAGUCCUAUUCAGGUCUUGCAGACUCAGGGACAUGGCUUCCUUGAUUGGAAUGAAUUUAUGGUAAUGCAGUCUCCAUUUUCCUAAUGGCUUCCACCUCACCAAACAUUAUUGCACUUUCUAGUGACCCAUGUCUUCUCAUGAUAUAGCCAAAAUACAACAGUCUGAGUUUUGUUGUAGAAUCCUAAGCAUCACUUCACUUGCACGAGAUUAAUACAAUGGUCUUCUAAUUAUCACAAUCUCUCGUGUCUCCUUACUUGGGGAUUGAAAUAUAUAUUGAUAAUUUUGAAUUUGUAGGCCGUUGCUUUGAGUCCCCUCGGGGAGAUGGGGUGGGUUAUAAAUAAAGUAUAUUAUUAUAUAUUUGUCAACAUAUUUUAGUUAGAAUUAGAGAAGAUUCUACCUCUGUGACUUGAAAGCAGCUCUACUGGUAUGCCAUCUGUGCCUUGUGAUUUAUUUCUCCUAUGGGCUCUGAAUACACUUUCAUCUUUUAACAUUUUAGGUUCAAACUUCAAAUGGUUCUUCCUACAACGAGUACAAUCCUUUCAUCUUUAAUGGAUUGUUUUUAAUUGUCUUUUUAUUUGUACUGGCUAUGUAAUGUGUUCCACUAAUGACUGUAGAGCAUCUCCUCGAGAACUAUUUGCAAUUUAUUUUGUGCAAAAUGCUUUUCAGGGAGUAUAGCCUUUCGUAGAUUCUGUUAUUUUAGUUUCAUUAACAACUGCAUCCACUAUGCUGCAAAGGAGUAGUUAAGUCAAUACUUUCUUAAAAUAGCUGGGCCAAGAAAACAACAACUCUUCUGUUAUUCAAAAAAAUAAAAAAUAAAAUUAUACUGCAGCACAGAUUGCAAGAAUAGAGAGUCAAGAUGUCACAGAAGCUACCAAAGGAGGAAAAUUCUAACAUUCUAAUUGCAAUGCAACUUUUUACUAAUGACAGCCUUUUAAAGUUCAUCAAAGUUCAUCUAAAAUGCUAGAGAAAGCAUUGAAUUGCUUUCCAAGCCCUGUUUUUCUAUAGUCAAGUGAUAUUCUGUACAGAAUUUUGACAGUUCUUUGGAAACAGUCAGAUGUCUUGAUAAGUCAAGAUUCCUACAGAAACUUUUGCUUUCGAGGAUAAAUCUAUAUGCUAUUUCUCAGUGCCUAAUGCCUUCUGCUCACAGCAGGAGCAGGUAAACAAACCAGAGGCUUCAGUCCAUGGUUUGUUUAAAAUGACAUACAAAUCUAACAGCUGCCAGUGCUCUAGGGUUCAAACUUCGCUCAACAAGCUACAGAAAAAAAUACAUGAUUUGUCCUAAGGUUUGUUUUUAGCUACUGUGCGAGAUAAGGGAAUUGAAACAGGAAGUGAACCAGAGCAUCAGUAAUUAUGUCAAGAAUGAAAAAGCCAGAUUUCACUUGUCUUUGUACUGAUGGCAAACUGAAAGAGAUGGGAAUUUUGAAUCUGAUGAAAAAAGUAGCCUUGUUCAAAAUGAGUUCUGGACACAUAAAUCUGGUAUAUGAUUGUAUACAGAUUUCACCAGUUUCUUUACUCAGCCUUCCUCUGAAACCAGGAAUGAGAAGAUAUGAUAAGAUGCUGAUUUAAGACAGAAAUCCAUGACUAUGAGGACAACCAGUUUAGUGGAGAAAGGAAACAUUUAAAUCACAGCCAAAUAUUUACAUAGUAACUUACUAUUCUACCCAUGUGUAUAGCUGUUAAGACUACUAACACCUUCUUUCCCUUCUCCUCUUUUUGCCCUAAAAGCCAACAUAAACCUAGCAAACAAAAUCGACUGUGAAUAGGUAUUAGCAUUUACUGCCUGUUUUACAGUUGGGACGUCUCAUCACUAUCAAUUUCAUGAGUAUUUCCUGGUACUUGCGAUCGACGUUUAGCUGCAACAGAUAAGAGCUAUUAUGUUCUCCCAGACGGAGGGCAAUCUGGUUGUAGAAUAUAUGUGUUGCAUAAAACAUUCCUCAGGUUUGAUUCCUGGCAUCUCUAGCUAAGUAGAUCCCAUAGUAAAGAGCUGAGCCAUUGCAAGAGCUGUAUAGUCCACCUUGCAUGGGUUGAUGAUGGAAUGCAUUAGUGGCUUAUCCCUUGAAAAUGUUAAAAUAAGUUCACUUAUCACUCUGCUCCCCGAGAUGUGGGGAACAAUGUUACUAAAUCACGGUCACCCCUAAUUUUAGAUUCAGGAUAUACCUUUUUGAACAACAAAAUCUGAAAAUUAUUUUCAGAUAAUUUUGUGUUUUCAAAGAUGCCUCUCCUGGGCUAAAAUGGAGAUGGGAGAGCAAAAGUGUGGUAAUAUUUAUAUUAAAUAUUAAUAAUAUUAAUAUUAAAGGUAAUAUUUCCUUUAGAAGUUCUGGCCAACAGUUUUUCAGAAUACAUUUUUAGAAUCUAGGAGUGUGCUCAAAAUAAUUUUGGGGCACACUUACUCCACCCCAACUUAGCAUGUGCUGCAAAGUUGUUGGAUUUUUUUUUUUUGCACUAUCAUGAUUAUUUCUUCUACUACAACCAUUGUGUCUUUCUCCAAAACUAGGCGUGCAUCUACUCUGUAGAUUUAAUGCAGUUUAAAACCAACCUAACUACCAAGGCUCAGUGCUAUGGUAUCAUAGAAGUUGUAGUUUUAGGUCUCCAACUUUCUCACCAAACAACUCCCAGAAUUCAUUGUACUAUGCCAUGCUGUUAAAAUAGUGUCAAACUGAAUUAAUUAUACAGUGCAGAUGCACCCUAGUACUCCAAAUAGCCAUUUUGGUGAGUAUUCUGAACUGACAAAAGGCAGUUUAUUGAGAUAAGCAUGUCUAUAUUUAUAGACAUUUAUAGAUUUCCAAGCAAUUACCUGUGGCUUAUGUCUAAAUGCAGAAGGUUUCAAGUCACUCAAAUUUGGCUCUAAGAUCAAAUUCCUUUAUAUAUUAUAUAAUACACAGAAUUUUGCACAAGGAAUGAUUCAAAUCACUAGUUAACUCUACCAUAAAAUACAUCUGUAAUUCAACAUCUUUGCUUGAAUUUGACAAGAAAUCAUAGGGGAAAAGUUCUGCACAUUUUCAAAUUAAAUAGUCUUAAACAUACCACAUCGGAACACUGAUAACUGGGCUAGCAUAGGUACUUGGUAAGUCUUUCCAUCAGCUGCAGUAAACGUUCGCUUUUUUGUGUUUUCUGGCUGAAAAC